GCCUUGGGGAUCGCUAUCGUGGGGCUAUGUCCUCGUCUCCACUCUCCAAUCCAAAUCCUUGUAUGUACAAGGUUCCAUUCAUCAUGGUUUCUUAAUUCCCUACUAUUGUCCUUUAUCCAGGGAUUAAUCAAGAAACUUUUCUAGGGAAAAAUUAAUUGAUACAGUGUGUGAGAAAUUCAACGUAACAAGAAAUUCAAGAAACCAAAUACAAGAGGCUUGUUCAAAUAUUUGAAUUAGCUCUCAAUGAAAGCACCAAUUUGUUGAUGCAAAUUUCCACCGUCUUCAAUUUUGAUGAAAAUGCACCUACAAAACAAUCAAAGACCUAAGCCUCACGUGCCCACAAGGUGGGCGGGUUAGGCUAAUGGAUCUCUAAUGCCUAAGUCAGUUUCUCUAAGGAGAGUAAAGUGUUUACAACUUCUUAGGGUAGCAAAAGCUUCUGAAAUUUGGUAGAAUAAGGGUAUAUAUGGGAGGGCCAACCAUAGUGUUAGGGAUUUACCUACACAUGGCGGCAUCUUAUUGAGGGAGAAAUAUUCUUAAGAUACUAAAUAAGAAAUAAUAUCUUAAGAUAAUAUAGUAAUUAUCCGUAAUUGAUUUAAAUUAGGAUUACUUACUUGAAUGAAGUCAAUCUUCAAUUGGGAAUGUAUUAAAGAUAGGACUUGGGUAAUUAAUUCUUAUCUUUAAUGCUUUGACUUUUCCUUGCCAAGGGCAAGUGAGUUGUGGGUAGUUGUAUUCAAUUGCUGGGACCCUCAGGGGUGUGAGCUGCACAUGAGAGUAUCUGAGGAGCCUACCCAUUUAAUGAGGCCAAUCUUGUCUUUCUUAAACAAAAGUGCACAUGCCACCUUUAGAAUUUUUGGGAUUAUUUUAGGCUCCACAAAAGUGAUCGUAUAUAUUCUUUUACAUUUUUCACACUUCUACCACAAUUAUUAUUAAUUUUAUUAAUUUUGCACUAAAAUAAAUAUAAAAAAAAAACUUUUCAUGAGGGUUUGGAGGGUUUAAAAAAUCUAAACAACGAUGCAACCAUCGUCUACGCAUAGAGGAUGCAAUGACAAGCGUUUAUAUAUCCUUUCACAUUUUUCACACUUGUACGUCAAUUGUUCUGAAUUUUAUUUAUUUUGAACUCCCCUAAAAAUAUUAUUCACGAGGCUUUGUAGGGUUUUAAAAAUUCAAACAGUGAUUUACCCAUCUCAAAGCGUAGAGGAUGUAAUCAUGAGCAUUUGCAUAUUUUUUCACAUUUUUGCACUUGUAAAUUAAUUAUUAUAAUUUUUAAUGUUUUUGAUAUUUUAAAAUUACUUUGUUAUUUUUAUUUUUAAUGUGUUUUAUAAUGUUUUAAUCUCACUUUUAAGAGGAUGAAUUUUUUAUUAGUAUGACAGUAUGAGAGAGUAAAAAAGUUUGUUAGGUCGCUGAGUCUAAAAAUGAGAGUAUGUUUUUUGUCUAUAAUAAUACUAUACUAGUUGAUUUGAAAUUUGGACAACGAGUCAAGUAAAUUUAAGCCAAUAAUGAUAAUAAGAAACUUCCAUAAUAAAAAUAAAUAAAUACAGAUUUAGUAGUAUACAAUAUAUACAAAAUGGGUAUUGUAUUUUAUAGAAAUUUUAUUAGUAGUUUAACUUUAAAAUCAUCAAAAUAAUUUUUUUUAACAGAUCAAAAUGGGUUACCUGCAUGUAAACUCAUUAAGGACUCGUUAUUAAUGUGUUCUUGAUGGGUGACCCGAUUAGUUAUCAUAUUGAACGGAGACUCAUUUUCAUGUCAUUUUCAUAUUGUAUUAACGGGCUGUGUAAAAAAUUACUAGGUAUACCAUAAACCAUCAUCUUCCAGCCUAAAAGUCGCAAUUAAGUCCUCCAGCUCAUCUGCAAGCACUGUGUGUUGGAAAAUAAUUAAUUCACCACGAUCAAGGAAGAAAAUAUCGGUAAUAUCGGAAAUAUCGGUAGUCCGAAAACACGGAAAUAUCGAUGGAAAUAUCGGGAUAAUAUCGAUAUCGAUAAAAAUUACAUGGAAACCACGGAAAUUGUAAGAAAAACUUGGAAAUUUUUAUUGAAACUUUGCAGGAUGUUUAUUUAGUCAAUUAUCUAUUAGUUUAUCACAAAAAAUUGGAAGGAAAUGCAUUGCAUGAUGGAUUUAACAUUAUCAAGUUGAUUAUAUAGCGAGCCGACAAACAUUGUGAGUGUAGAAAAUAUGUAGUAAUUAAUGAAAGAAGUUUAAACACACCAAUUGGGGCUUAUUGCGGCAAGUUUUUUUAGAUAUGACCUCGCAUCAAGUCGUCUUUUGUGUUAAUUUGUAAUCUUAACUAGUUUUGUUGUGUUGUGUCAAUUAGUUAAAUUAAGCGGUACAUCCAAUUGGGGCUUAUAAACAUUUUAAUUCU
rnacentral:lncRNA from 1 species